rnacentral:rRNA from 1 species
UGCUCCUGAUGUUAGCGGCGGACGGGUGAGUAACACGUGGGUAACCUGCCUGUAAGACUGGGAUAACUCCGGGAAACCGGGGCUAAUACCGGAUGGUUGUUUGAACCGCAUGGUUCAGACAUAAAAGGUGGCUUCGGCUACCACUUACAGAUGGACCCGCGGCGCAUUAGCUAGUUGGUGAGGUAACGGCUCACCAAGGCGACGAUGCGUAGCCGACCUGAGAGGGUGAUCGNCCACACUGGGACUGAGACNCGGCCCAGANUCCUACGGGAGGCAGCAGUAGGGAAUCUUCCGCAAUGGACGAAAGUCUGACGGAGCAACGCCGCGUGAGUGAUGAAGGUUUUCGGAUCGUAAAGCUCUGUUGUUAGGGAAGAACAAGUGCCGUUCAAAUAGGGCGGCACCUUGACGGUACCUAACCAGAAAGCCACGGCUAACUACGUGCCAGCAGCCGCGGUAAUACGUAGGUGGCAAGCGUUGUCCGGAAUUAUUGGGCGUAAAGGGCUCGCAGGCGGUUUCUUAAGUCUGAUGUGAAAGCCCCCGGCUCAACCGGGGAGGGUCAUUGGAAACUGGGGAACUUGAGUGCAGAAGAGGAGAGUGGAAUUCCACGUGUAGCGGUGAAAUGCGUAGAGAUGUGGAGGAACACCAGUGGCGAAGGCGACUCUCUGGUCUGUAACUGACGCUGAGGAGCGAAAGCGUGGGGAGCGAACAGGAUUAGAUACCCUGGUAGUCCACGCCGUAAACGAUGAGUGCUAAGUGUUAGGGGGUUUCCGCCCCUUAGUGCUGCAGCUAACGCAUUAAGCACUCCGCCUGGGGAGUACGGUCGCAAGACUGAAACUCANAGGAAUUGACGGGGGCCCGCACAAGCGGUGGAGCAUGUGGUUUAAUUCGAAGCAACGCGAAGAACCUUACCAGGUCUUGACAUCCUCUGACAAUCCUAGAGAUAGGACGUCCCCUUCGGGGGCAGAGUGACAGGUGGUGCAUGGUUGUCGUCAGCUCGUGUCNUGANAUGUUGGGUUAAGUCCCGCAACGAGCGCAACCCUUGAUCUUAGUUGCCAGCAUUCAGUUGGGCACUCUAAGGUGACUGCCGGUGACAAACCGGAGGAAGGUGGGGAUGACGUCAAAUCAUCAUGCCCCUUAUGACCUGGGCUACACACGUGCUACAAUGGACAGAACAAAGGGCAGCGAAACCGCGAGGUUAAGCCAAUCCCACAAAUCUGUUCUCAGUUCGGAUCGCAGUCUGCAACUCGACUGCGUGAAGCUGGAAUCGCUAGUAAUCGCGAU